rnacentral:rRNA from 1 species
CCUACGGGAGGCUGCAGUGAGGAAUAUUGGUCAAUGGCCGCAGGGCUGAACCAGCCAAGUCGCGUGAGGGAUGACGGUCCUAUGGAUUGUAAACCUCUUUUGUCAGGGAGCAAAGGGCGCCACGUGUGGCGCUUUGCGAGUACCUGAAGAAAAAGCAUCGGCUAACUCCGUGCCAGCAGCCGCGGUAAUACGGAGGAUGCGAGCGUUAUCCGGAUUUAUUGGGUUUAAAGGGUGCGCAGGCGGAAUGUCAAGUCAGCGGUAAAAUUUCGGGGCUCAACCCCGUCGUGCCGUUGAAAAUGGCGUUCUUGAGUGAGCGAGAAGUAUGCGGAAUGCGUGGUGUAGCGGUGAAAUGCAUAGAUAUCACGCAGAACUCCGAUUGCGAAGGCAGCAUACCGGCGCUCAACUGACGCUCAUGCACGAAAGCGUGGGUAUCGAACAGGAUUAGAUACCCGAGUAGUC